rnacentral:misc_RNA from 1 species
GAUGAAGAACGUAGCGAAAUGCGAUAAGUAAUGUGAAUUGCAGAAUUCAGUGAAUCAUCGAAUCUUUGAACGCACAUUGCGCCCCCCAGUAUUCUGGCGGGCAUGCCUGUUCGAGCGUCAUUUCAACCAUCAAGCCCUGGUUGUGUUGGGGUCCUGCGGCUGCCCGCAGGCCCUGAAAACCAGUGGCGGGCUCGCUAGUCACACCGAGCGCAGUAGCACAUCUCGCUCAGGGCGUGCGGCGGGCUCCAGCCGUUAAAGCACCCACCUUUCGCAAGGUUGACCUCGGAUCAGGUAGGAAUACCCGCUGAACUUAAGCAUAUCAAUAAGCGGAGGA